rnacentral:rRNA from 1 species
UACGUGCAACCGUUUAGGGGUAAACCUGCAAAAACCCGAAAGGUCUAAGGGAGAAAAUAAUUCGCGUCUUGUCGUAGGAAUCGGGCGGUCGAGUGACGGAGAGCGUGUUCGCACGUUCCCCGCGCCGUCCGCCCGUCGAACCGGCGAUGAAUGCGUUCACUUUUGUCCUGGUAGGACGUCGUGAUCCGUCGGUUGGCGGUGGAGCCCGCUCAAACCUGGCGGACCUAAGUGAUCCGGCCGACUCGCUCGACGGUGCAUGAAAGCUUUAAGGCCGCUCACAUAGCGUUCGACUCGCGGCAAGCGCUCCGGAUGUGUCGGCAAUCAGAACCGAUGCAGAUUCUGAUCUCCGGCGAGUGUUGGCCGCGAAGUUCUCGAACAGACCUUCAAGACCGAUCCGGGACGCUAUAACUUAGGGUACUUUCAGAUAGGACCCGUCUUGAAACACGGACCAAUGAGUUUAGCAUGUGCGUGAGUCAUUGAUGGGAAUCACUAAACCUAAAGGCGCAAUGAAAAUUAAGGUCUUCCUCGCCGGGACUUGGGGAAGACGGGCGACUCACCCUUAAAAGUGACCGCUCGGCAUGCCCGGGGCGUCUCGUUCUCAUCGCGAGAAGAGGCACACCAACAACGUACACGCUGGGACCCGAAAGAUGGUGAACUAUCGCCUGGCCCGGACGAAGUCAGGGGAACCCUGGUCCGUAGCGAUUCUGACGUGCACAUCGAUUGUCGGAGCUGGGCGAAAGACCAAUCGAACCAUC